UGCCCCAUGGCUGAGUUGGUUACAGCGUCCGACUGUUAUCAUUCAUUUUCGAAUGUGUAUAAUUAAUCGGAAGGUCGAGAGUUCGAGCCUCUCUGGGGCAG